GACAGAGGAUGCAAGCGUUAUCCGGAAUGAUUGGGCGUAAAGCGUCUGUAGGUGGCUUUUUAAGUCUGCCGUCAAAUCCCAGGGCUCAACCCUGGACAGGCGGUGGAAACUACCAAGCUAGAGUACGGUAGGGGCAGAGGGAAUUUCCGGUGGAGCGGUGAAAUGCGUAGAGAUCGGAAAGAACACCAAAGGCGAAGGCAGUGUCCUGGGGAGUACCUGACGCUCAGGUGCGAAAGCCAGGGGAGCGAACGGG
rnacentral:rRNA from 1 species